UACGUAGGGCGCAAGCGUUGUCCGGAAUUAUUGGGCGUAAAGAGCUCGUAGGCGGUUUGUCGCGUCUGCUGUGAAAUCCCGAGGCUCAACCUCGGGCCUGCAGUGGGUACGGGCAGACUGGAGUGCGGUAGGGGAGAAUGGAAUUCCUGGUGUAGCGGUGGAAUGCGCAGAUAUCAGGAGGAACACCGAUGGCGAAGGCAGUUCUCUGGGCCGUAACUGACGCUGAGGAGCGAAAGCGUGGGGAGCGAACAGG
rnacentral:rRNA from 1 species